AGAGAAUAAGAAACACACACAAUGAUGCUCCGUUCUGUCAUUAUGUUUUCUGUUUUUGCAUAUGCAGCAUAUGGAAAUGAAAUUCAAUCAACCAAAACUUUGGAGUUUGCUGAGGAAGGUUCAAGUGUUACAUUAACCUGCAGUUAUUCAUCUGCAUUAACUCUCUACUGGUACCGUCAGUAUCCCGGAUCAGCUCCUGAGUUUAUUGUGUUCAUCUCAGAUGGAUCAACACCACAUCAGAAGUCUAUUGUAGAUUCCAGAUUCACUGCCAAAGUCACCAAAGACAAAGAAAACCAUGUGGAUCUGAAGAUCUCCUCUGCAUCUACAUCAGACUCUGCUCUGUACUACUGCGCUCUGGAGCCCACAGUGACAGGAAACACAAGAACACUGUACAAAAACCUGUUUCACAGUAUUGCAUCUACAUCACACAUAUCCAAGCUCCAUAUCUGCUUUAGGUAA